UUUUGCUUAACAGUACGUGGCGUUGUCGCACAGUCCAGACCCAGUUUACCGAAGUAACCUAUCGGGCACGAGGAAAGUUUCCAGCCGAUAUACUAGUCAAGCUUAAUUAGGUAAAUGAGGGGAAAUAAAGAGAAUUUCCAAUUGAAAUAGCUUAGGGGUAUAGAUGUCAAUUAGGGUAUGAAAUGCUUUGAUUUAUAAGGAAGGGCAUUUUUCAUCUACAACUUAAGAAUUGGGGCAUUUUUGCAUGUUAACCU
rnacentral:lncRNA from 1 species